rnacentral:ncRNA from 1 species
GAAAGGGUAUGCACAGUUUUUAGUGCAGGCCUGGAUGUUUGGAUGAUGGCAGAAGCACCUUUCUGGCAGCCUGAGGAACAUCCCAGUUAGG